AUGUGGAAGUGAGAAUCCAUUGAAGUAUUUAGUUAAACUGAGGGAUGCAGUAAAUGCUCUAAGGCCAGGUCUCUUUAUGAAGUAGCUGGACACAAGGGAAAGUGACUCAUUAAUGCAGCUUUGCGACAAAGUACAAAUACAGUAGUGAAGAGAUCCUGGUAUGUCCACCUGGUCAGUUGCUCCCAGUGGGGGUAUCUGACCGUCUCCUUCUCAGUGUGUUUUGUCUGUCUAUGAUAUCCUUAUCAAUAGCUUAUGUAGGAUUGCCUCGUUCCCUCCAAAAUUUUAAAGUCUGCUCAUACAGAAUGCACAAGGAAGGCUGAGAAGGAGGGGAUACCUUCAAGGGCUGUGGUCUUUCGGCUUUUCAAGUCAUUAUUCAUAAAUAGUGAUGUCGCGAACCGUUCGC